UAAUAGGCCUGGUCUACUGGGAAUGAACAAAUAUGAGUUUGCAAAAACUUACUGUGUUGUCAGAGUUGUCCGUGAUUCUCAAGGGAAAUUUUAUCAGGAUUUCUCGAAGGGAAUUCGCUUGGAAGAGUUGAAUGUGUUACUUAGGCAAACUAUUAUGUUACUGUUAGUGAAGUUGAAGAACCUUUUGAGCUUUAGAAGAGCAUUAGCAGUUCUGUAAUCAAUGAUGGGUUGAUAAACAAGGUAUGUUAGUGCUUAAAACCAAGGCUUCUUCUCUUCAACAGUUUGCUUAUCAUGUUGCAUUUCCUACCAUGCCCUUGCUUCUAUCCCUGAUUUUUCUUGAUUUUUUUUAGACUUCUUGUUUGGGUAUGGAAAAACUAGUUGCAUAGGGCGGAAUUACCAAAUGAGAAAUCAGAUAUUAAAAAUUAAAUGUCAUUUAUUUUAUUUUCCAACAGUUGCCUUGUAUGUUCUUCCACGAGCAGGAGAUUCACUGUGGUAUAUUUUAGUGAAUCGCCACCUGCUUCCAGAUAAUAAGAAUGC